GAGUUUGAUCGUGGCUCAGGACGAACGCUGGCGGCGUGCUUAACACAUGCAAGUCGAACGCUGAAACCAGAUGCUUGCAUUUGGUGGAUGAGUGGCGAACGGGUGAGUAACACGUGGGUGAUCUGCCCUGCACUUUGGGAUAAGCCUGGGAAACUGGGUCUAAUACCGAAUAUUCACACCACCGUAGGGGUGGUGUGGAAAGCUUUAUGCGGUGUGGGAUGAGCCUGCGGCCUAUCAGCUUGUUGGUGGGGUAAUGGCCUACCAAGGCGUCGACGGGUAGCCGGCCUGAGAGGGUGUACGGCCACAUUGGGACUGAGACACGGCCCAGACUCCUACGGGAGGCAGCAGUGGGGAAUAUUGCACAAUGGGCGCAAGCCUGAUGCAGCG
rnacentral:rRNA from 1 species